AUCCUGAAUGGGCUGCUGUUGGCAGUCAGCUUCUCAUGUCUCCCUAGUCAAUUAUUGUUUUCUAAAAAGUGUUCUUCUUUUCAUUUUUUACUAUCAUUUUCAUUAAUUGGACAUUGAAUCUCUUUUUAACUUUGGUUCUUUUUCUGUGCUCAGAUGUUGUCCUAGGUUGAGUUUCCUUGGUACGCCUUUUCCCAGUUCACAUGCUGUCUUACUGUUCCCUAUAUUCCUGCUCCCCCUCUUCAAGUAAUGUCUGAGGAUCUUUCUUUAUCAACUACCCCUCGUUUUGUGUGUAUAAUUUGUGGACUAAUCGAGUGUUUUUUCUUUUGUUCAAAAUUCAGUGCCCUGACUCUUUCCCCAUGUGGUUAUAGACAGUUAUUUGUCACACUUGUGCCCUAUUUUCUUUGUCUUUGCACCCACGAUUAUGUUGUCUUCACAGCAUUCCUCCCCUGUCUUUGAGCAUGCCUUCUACAUGUUUUGAGUCAUAGCUCACAGGAAGUGUUUUCUGGAUUCUCAUGAUAUAGGAACUUGAGUUGAAUACAGAAUACUUGUGUCCUGGAGCCAGUUUCAGGGUGCUGUGAGGUUUCAAGUCAAUGGUUUCUUUGUUGACAUAGGCACUCGGUUUUGCCUCCAUGUCCACAUCACUUGUGUUCACCUGCCCCUACACAUUGUCCUCAUGGAUAUCACUUCCAUGCAUGGAAAAUUUGCAUUGUUUGAUUUAGGUUGCUUUGACAGUAUUAGUGACUGUUAUAUAGCUUAGCCAUUUUCAGCUGCUUCUGUUGUUUCAAGAUGACAUGGGCACUUUGUAAUGUAAGGGUCUUCUGCCGUUUUGUGGCAGGGCGGGUGUCUAUGGCACUGAGUAUAAAUCAUGCAUUUUCAGGUACUGAGCUCCCCUGGAAGAAACACAGUGACACACAGAGAUCCAGUUUGGCAAUACAUCCACAUACCCACUCACAGAGACACACUCACACACGCACAAAUACACACACAUGUGCCAUGCUGUCUACCCUCGUUGGGUCAGGCACACAUUCAUUGGGACUCAAGGGAUUGAGGAAUGAAUGUCGCAGAUAGAGUGCUUAUCCCCAGAUAACGGUUGUUUUGCAUGGAGCAUGCUCUCUGAGAAGCUGGGUCCAAUUCUGAAUCAUGCAUGUGAUUUCUGUCCACUUGUCAGAUGGAGGUGUUUGGCCAGGCUUAUCAAUACUCAAGAGAAGGAGACCUUCCCAUUUUCUGGUGACUGGUGGUGGCCAGAGGUUGUGGAAGGAAAUGGGUGUUCUCAGGGUGAGUACCCUUCCUGUGGAUCACUCAGGAUGACAGUAUGCAUUCCUCUUACCCUCGCCAAGUCCUGGCAUUUGCUUUUGGAUUUUCUUUGACUGAUCGAGUUGUGCCCAAAAGGAUUUAUUGUUGCUGUUGCUCAAUGGCUUGCUGGCUCUGUAUUCCCCAGGCAGCUGGAGGUCUCCGAGCUUAUUGGCUCCUCUGUGGCACUGAUCAGCCUGCCUUGUUGAGUUCUCCAGCAUGCCAGCAAGUGCUCGGAUCAAUGAUGACUCCCUCAUGUGCAUUCCUUGAAAAUCUGAACAUGAUGAGUGAGAACACACUACUGUAGUCCUCAGAGGUGCUGGGGCUGUGUUGGGUUGGUGCCAGGAUGGGGCUGAUUGACUGGGUUGCAGUGCUAGCCUUCACAGCUUCCCUGUUGCACCUAGUGACCCAGGGCUGUUGCCAAAGGCUGAAGCAUGGAAUAUGCCGAGGUCUCAGUGCUGCCUUCCAGCAUCUCAGGAGGCUGAUGGCCUAGACUGGAAGGGAAGAUUAUGGUGAGGUCAGGGCUAGUGUGAUAUUGUUUGAUUUCUUGAAACACACUCUACUCAUUUUUCUCUUUCUGCUGUCCUGGGAUUCCUAGGUCCCUUGGUUUGUUUGGUUUUUCUGGGCCUCCAUGUGGCUCUUGCUAACCCUACACGAGGUGCUGAAAGUUUUUUCUUUAGAGUGGGAUGUCUAAGAUUCUCACUGUGCUAAGUGAGACUCCAACAUACCAAAAUCAAUAGUUUCUCUUGGUUCAAGCAGCUCAGUUACAUGAGAUGACCCAACCUGUGUCACCCAGGUUUUAGCCUUUUGGGGUACAGAAAGAGCUUCUUCAGUCCAGAAAUCUUCCAAGCUAUGUAAGUGAGAAUGCCUGCAGUGUAGGGAUUACUCGGCCAGCUGAUCAAUGAAUGUGUGUUACAAAUCUUUGCUCACUUUUGCUCUGCUUCUAUAAUUUAACUUAGAGUCAGCAGUUGUUUUCAUAUGAAAGAAUUCAUUUUUCUCACCCUGAGAAGUGAAAUGAUGGGGUAUAUCAUAACUCAACCUGCUAUCCAAACCUCACAGUUCAGUGAUUCCAGUUGGAAUUCCAGCACUGGUAAGCAUUUGUCCUAAAGUACUGACAUUCCUCUUAGAGCACUGUAACAUUCCAGUGAUGCUAAGACUCCAGCCAAGCUAGCUGACUAUGAGACUAGGUCAUUGCCUGUGGUCAUUGGUCUCCAUGACUGAAAACCGUGGGUCAUCGUGCCUGAGGGUGUUGGAAUCCUGAGAGCUCCGUAUCUCUUAUUUAAUACCCUUUUACAAAUGUACCUGUACUGAUGAUGACUUCAAAAGUGGGUCUCAGAGGAGUCUGAAGAAAAUGAUUGACACAGUCAGUUCUGUGAGGAAAGGUACAGCACAGGGCGCUGUACUAGCCAGAAAAAGUGGAAGGAGUUCAAUUGAGAAGUAGCACCAACAGGGACCAUGGUGUUUGAAAGCUAACCUGAUCACAUAAAUUACAGGAAAUAAAUUUUACAAUUGUCUAUAGCUAUCUGAGUGUCUAGUGGCUGAAAAUACUGGACAGUAUUUAUUCUGUUGGAGGUUAGAGAUUAACACAAUUAAUAUAUUUGAAAUGCUGUCAGAAAUAUCAUAGGAGACAAAUACAUUAGUUUAUUUUAGCAUGGGGACACAUUUUUGAACUCUACCACGCGCCUGGCAGACCAGUGGACACAUUUAUUUCUCCCCUCUCCACAUUUCACUUUAUUCCUGCAUGCAGCAUGGGUCAAGUGCUGGGUUUCAUAUGAAAGAGAGGUGAAAUGAAGGAGCAUAUUGAGAAUAAUCCUGCCUUCCCAUCUUUAAGGUCCACUCUCAAACUGGUAAGCAUUUUGUUCUGAGAAAACUACCUUCCUCUUAGGGGCAAUGUAAUAUCCCAAUAAUAGUAAGUCUUUGAUAUGCUGGAGCCUAGGGAAGUGACUGUGACAUUGGAUCUCCAUGACUGAAUAGGGCAAGUCAUUGUGACCAUAGGUAAUGAACUUCUUGUGUUUUUAUAUAGAUUUCAUGUCUUCCACCCUCAAUGUGUUUUAAAUGUGUAUAAGAGAGAUAUUGGUUAUAAUGCAUGGUUCUGAGGCAUGUGCACUGGGGAACUUUGAGACUAAUGUCUUAUAAAAAUUAAUCUGUGUAUCACUAUGUUCCAAAGAGUGAAUGUAACUCUUUGUUAAUGUAGCUAGUCGAGUGACUAUCUAGGGUCAAUGUUAUGUAAGCUUUUAAUAUUUGACAUUCCAUUAAGAAGAUUUUGUUUCUCAACUUCACUAAUUUCUCCUUGUGCUUUGUAGUUGGAAGUGAUGUUGAAUGGAAGGUGCAUUUUGUCGCUCAGAAUUCUCACCACCACACCAAAGAAGGGCUGGUUUUGUCAUUGGUAGCAGCUUUCUCAACUGGGAAUAACAAGAAUAGUGUUUCAGAGACAACAACACAAUUUUCAAUAAGUUUUUUUGCAGGAUAAUUCAUUCAUUUCUAAGAAAUCAGGAAUUCAUAUGGUUUUUGAAGACUGUAAAUUCAAAUACUGUGAGGCAUUAAUAACAUGUUCAAGAUGGACCAAGAGCUGGGUUUCACAUGAAAGAGUUUUUUCCCUCCCCUUGAGAUCAGACAUGAAGAAGAAUUUCAAGAAUAAUUCUGCCUCUCAUCUUUAUGGGCCACUGGGAAUUUUCAUGCUGACUGGAAAUGAUUUGGGAAUUACAUGGAAUACUCACCACCAUAAACUAGUGUUGGUUUUGUUGUUCUCACCUGUUCCCUUUCCUGGGAUGAAACAAAACAAUGCACUCCAAAGGUAUUGACCAGUAGCUGAGUUUCAUAUGAAAGAGCUUAUUUCUUCCUCUUGAGAGGUGACAUGAAGGAAAGUAUUAAAAUAUAAUUUCAUAGUCUCAUCCUCAAGAACCAGUGGGAGUUCUAACAUCAGUAUGCCUUUUGUCCUGAAAAUACUGACAUUCCUCUUAGGACACUGUAACAUGCAUAUGACAGUGAAACUCUGGCUGUGCUGGUCAAUCAUGAGGGUGUCACUGACUGUGAUGACUGGUCUCCAUUAUUGAAUAGGUCAGCUUGUCUAAAGGUAUCAGAACCCUGAGUGCUCAGUGCCUACCACAUACCUUAGGAUCAAAGCCCCUUUUACUAAUGUGCCUGGAUCAUUUAUGACUUCGAAUCUGGAUCUCAUUGGAAUAUGAACAAACUGAGUGGCAUGGUCACUUGUCAGCUAAGGUGCCUCUCUUGGACCAUAGGAGGCAAAAUUGUGGGGGGCGUUCAGCUGGUCUAGUAGCAGUACCAGCCAGGACUAGAGUGUUUGAAAGCUCACCUGACUGCAUAUAUUAAGGGAAAUGAGUUGUACAGAGGUACAUAAAUGUCUGGUUUAGGGAUGAUGGCAUGGCACCAUCCACUCACUCACAGUCAUCAGACUCUGGGAACCAGCACAUGAGUAGUGAGACCCAGAAGAUACGUUUUUGUCUACUUUGAGCCGUUCGCACAACUUUCUUAGAUGCUGCAGUCUGGUUAGUGAGUGGUAGUCUAUCCAGGUAGAUUACAUAGUCACUUCAAAAGAUACUAUGUCUUUACUUAUCAAUUUUUUGGAUAAAGCAAAUAUAUGGAAAUUUAAGAGUAGUUUCUAUCUACAGGAAUAUCUUAGAGCAUAGUUUGACUUGAUUAUUAGCUCAGUCAUAAGAAUUCAAGAACUUUUUUUUCUUUUCACCCAACAAUAAACUUUCUAGACAUUUGGAUGAUAGAUUCAAGUAGAUGGGCACUCAAUCUUUUUAAUUGUGAAAUUGUUGCUUUUUCAAUUCUUGGCAUUUUAUUGGUUAAUAUUCAUAUUCCUUUAGUCUGUUUUAUAUGUAUUUUAAGAGAGAUCCCAAUUUUAAUGAGUGAUGCUGAGGGUCCUUUAGAGAAACUUUGGCCAGGUCUUAGGACAAACAACUUUCUGUAGUCUCCUGUUCCAUGGAACAUGUGUAUUUUUGUCAUGCCACACAGUUGGUCAGCAAACGUAUAUAAUUAAUUCCUUAUAAUUUCUUCUCAAUUAAUAUUCAAUUCGCAAGGUUUUCCUUCUCAAUAACUCUAAUUUCCUCUGUGACUUGUAGGUUGGAAAAAGCACUGGAAUUGCAUGGGAUUCUCAGCCACCUCACCAAGGCAGAGAUGGCUUUGUUAUUUCUACCAGCUCCCUUAUCUGAGAAGAAAUACAAUGACGCACUCUCAUUUUUUAUAAAUUUUCCCUGGGUUGUUGUAAUUAUUUUUAAGUAAUCAAGAAUUUAAUCAGAGUCUGUCCAUUCAACAGUGUGAGGCCUUAAUAAUCUGGUGAUUCUUUGAGGCUCCUUUUUUGUUCUUUUCCAGAAUUUUUGUAUUUUCUCAGUCUUCCUGUGGAUGCCUCAUAUAGGAAUUAAGUGUGGAGGUGAUGUCAAGGCUGUUGCUCACCACUGUGGCAGAGAGAAGCUUUUUCUACUGAAGGAUGUGCUUGCCCGAUGUCACUGAACCCUCAGCUGUGUGGCCUGAUGAGCAUCUCCCUGACAUUAGGACAGGAAAUAUUUCAUGGUCAAAAAGGAUAGAGCUCGGGUUUCAAAUGAAAAUGUUUAUUCCUUCCCUUGAGAUACGAAUGAAGGAAAGGCCCAUCCUCAGGGGCCAGUGGGAAUCCUCAGGGCAGUAUGUCCCUAGAAUACUGACAUUCCUUCUAAGGAUCCUGUAACACUCCACAUACUGCAAGGCACAUCUACGAUAGCUGUGGAGCCUGGACCAUUGAUGAGGGGUCUUCUCCGUGACUGCGGAGGGUGGAUUGAAAGUGAUGUUGGAGAGAAGGGAUAUUUUGCUGCCUGGAAUUCUCACUGCCACCCCAAAGUGCCAUUUUUUUGUCACUUGGACCAGCUUCUUUCUCUGGGAAAAAUCAGAACAAUGCACUCCAGAGGUUGGCUUGGACCAAAAACUGGGUUUCAUAUGGAUAAGAUUUAUUGCUUCCCCUUGAGAUAAGACAUAUAGGAAAGUGUUGGGAAUAAUUAUUUCUCCCAUCCUAAGAGGCCUGUGUUAAUUCUCAAAAAGGUGAUAGAGCCUAGAAGGAAAGGAAAACUGUCUAUGCAUUUGCCGAAGCUCUUGAAUGUCAGCUCUAGAGAAUAAAGUGGCCGCAUACUUCUCCGUCAGUGUUCUGUCUUCCCACCUGUGGUCUUUUGGACACACCUGCAGGUAACUUCUUGGGAACUCUUUUGGGAAUGAAUGAUACCAGAAAAAUCCCUAAAACAAGAUUCUUCAGACAGAGCCCUUCGCCUACCUGUUGUCCAAGGGCUGCCCUCUGAAGGUGAUGACCAUAAAGAUGAGGUGGAUUUGUUACUGUGGUUGCCAUUACUUCUACCACCAGCUUCUCCCAAACAAUGCUACAGUCUUCUUUAUGCAUGGGAACUCUUCUCUCGCCUGUGUUGCAGUGGACACCUCCUGCAGAUAAGAAAUGCUUAACUGAGAAAUGCUCAUGUUGGGAUAUCAUCGAUGAGACUUUAAUUUGGGCAUGGUGACUGUUUCCCUUGCUUCCACUUGACUCAAUCCCAGGAGCCUCAGUAGAGGAACUAUUAUUGCACAAGAAACUCAAAAUGAUGGAAUUUCUCAGUGCUCCCAUAAAUAAAUUUAUAAUAUUCAUUUGCCAUGUGGUAAAUUUAAAAAAUAAGAUCUAUUAAAUUUUUUUCAAAAAUUCAAAGCGUAUCUAGACAUCUAAUAUAUAAAUUAAGUGCCCUACUCUCUCCCAAUUCUCUCAGAGUUUUCCUCUAUUAAGGGAGUUGUGUGCAUUCUUUAAUUGGAUAGAUGCGCACACACACGCACACGCACACACAAGCAAUUUUGGGGGAGUUCUGAAAGUGGAGCUAUAUUGUACACAUUAUUCUGCAAAUUUCCUUUCAUUUAACAGUUUUUUCAAUGCCCUUUUUCUGUUUCAGUAAUACAUAUCUGUGUCAUUUGUUGAAUGACUGCAUGACUGUUUUGUAUAUGAAAAAUAAUUAAAUGUUUAAGCAUUUCUCAUUCAUAGAUAUUUAUGUUAGCACCAAAUUUCUGUGCAAUGAACCUCCCUAUAUAUCAAUUAUUUGCAUUUGUCUAUUAUAUCAUAAUAAAUUACUUAGCAGUUGAAAUACUGGGAUUAAGUAUAUGCACAUUUCAAACUUUGAAAAUGAUCACAAGAUUUCCUUAAAAAUGUGGUAACGACUUUAUCCUCAAAUGGCAAUGAAUAAGAUUGCCAGCUUUCCCACAACCUCCCAGAUAAUGAAUUUUAUGAAUAUUUAAAAUCUUUGCCAGUGUGAUAGCCCAAACUAUUGUCUUAAAUUGUAUUUCUUUUGGUUUUUGAGUUUGAUCAUUUUUUUCAUGUUUAUUAGCCAUCUGUAUUUUUUAAUUUUCUCUUUAUGUCCAGUUUUGGGGGUAGGGGGAUGUUUGGUCUCUUCCUGGUUUCAAAGAGCUCAUUUAUAUUGGGGGAAUAAGCUUUGGAAUGUCAAGCAUUACAGAUAUUUUUUACACACUUUUAAACUUCAUUUUUGUUAUAAGAAUGUGUAUGAUUGUUAUAUGUCUGAGUAUAACCAUGUUCGCUUCUAUGGCUUCUGAGUUUCAUGUCAUUUUGGAAAGAUAUUUUUACUGAUCCCAUAAAACUCUUCACCUAUGUUAACUUCUAAUUAUUUUGUCCUUUUUAAAUUCAAAUUCUUAAGUCAUGGGAAAUUUUUUUUAAUUUGAAAUCUUAAAGUUGCCCAGUUAUUUGCCAUUACUUGCGAUUAUUUGCCAAUAAUUGCCCAUUUAUCUGUAAUGCCAUCUUGCACAUAUGCUGUACCCUCAUUUGUGACUGGCUCCAUUUUUGUUCUGUGGAUCUGUGUGUCUCUUCUGCCUCCUGUCUCAUGUGUCUUCUUGUUGGAAGAAAUUACAGUAUACACUGCAAUUUCAUCAAUUUUAAUAAAUUAAUUUAGGCGAGAAUUGUUUUUUAAUAAUAUGUCUUCCUAUCCAAGAACAAGGUACGUCUUCCUUUUUAUUCAAUAAUUUUAAUUAGUGUUAAUAUUUUUACUUUGUGGUGGGACUAUCUUCUUUCAGUUUAUUUUCUUACUUGAUAAUUUUUCUGUAUCUGAAAGUUUUGUUUUGUUUUUUGGGGGUAAAUGGUCUCCUUACUCUUUCUCAUGGCUUUUCAGAUUUUUUUUUUCAAAUUGUAUACUAAAUCCUUUGCAAAUACUAAUAAUUGGGAUUUUCCCCUUCCAAAUGAUCUGGUAGCUAUAUUGAUAAAAUUCACUGACUGGUACUUUCAGAACAUUUAAACAAUUGUGGAAAUACCAC